CUUCAACGACCCCAGCCACAGCGGCUGAUCCCCGGACCGGCCCUGACCAUAGACCGACAACAACGCCUGCGCCUC
rfam:Streptomyces violaceusniger Tu 4113, complete genome.